rnacentral:rRNA from 1 species
GAAACCAGGUGAUCUACCCUUGGUCAGGUUGAAGUUCAGGUAACACUGAAUGGAGGACCGAACCGACUUACGUUGAAAAGUGAGCGGAUGAACUGAGGGUAGCGGAGAAAUUCCAAUCGAACCUGGAGAUAGCUGGUUCUCUCCGAAAUAGCUUUAGGGCUAGCCUCAAGUGAUGAUUAUUGGAGGUAGAGCACUGUUUGGACGAGGGGCCCCUCUCGGGUUACCGAAUUCAGACAAACUCCGAAUGCCAAUUAAUUUAACUUGGGAGUCAGAACAUGGGUGAUAAGGUCCGUGUUCGAAAGGGAAACAGCCCAGACCACCAGCUAAGGUCCCAAAAUAUAUGUUAAGUGGAAAAGGAUGUGGCGUUGCCCAGACAACUAGGAUGUUGGCUUAGAAGCAGCCAUCAUUUAAAGAGUGCGUAAUAGCUCACUAGUCGAGUGACACUGCGCCGAAAAUGUACCGGGGCUAAACAUAUUACCGAAGCUGUGGAUUGUCCUUUGGACAAUGGUAGGAGAGCGUUCUAAGGGCGUUGAAGCAUGAUCGUAAGGACAUGUGGAGCGCUUAGAAGUGAGAAUGCCGGUGUGAGUAGCGAAAGACGGGUGAGAAUCCCGUCCACCGAUUGACUAAGGUUUCCAGAGGAAGGCUCGUCCGCUCUGGGUUAGUCGGGUCCUAAGCUGAGGCCGACAGGCGUAGGCGAUGGAUAACAGGUUGAUAUUCCUGUACCACCUAUA